rnacentral:rRNA from 1 species
UACGUAGGGGGCAAGCGUUGUCCGGAAUCAUUGGGCGUAAAGAGCGUGUAGGCGGUCCGGUAAGUCGGCUGUGAAAGUCCAGGGCUCAACCCUGGGAUGCCGGUCGAUACUGCCGGGCUAGAGUCCGGAAGAGGCGAGUGGAAUUCCUGGUGUAGCGGCGGAAUGCGCAGAUAUCAGGAGGAACACCGAUGGCGAAGGCAGCUCGCUGGGACGGUACUGACGCUGAGGCGCGAAAGCGUGGGGAGCGAACAGG